CAGAGUGGACGGAGACGGUUAGUAAUAAGUAGUCACAACUCCAAACAUGUCUCGUUCAGACAUUUUGACGAUGAAUUCAAAUUGUGGUGUCCUGCGGGAUGGAGGCCUCUGUGGCAGGAGGAGUGGACCUGCACCGGCAGCAUGCCGUGUAAGGAAGCGUGCUGCCUUUAAGUGUCCCUGCUGCAGGGAGGACACGGGGGAGCUAUGGAGCAGGUUGGCGAGGCAUGGAGGCCUGCUCAAGUUCAAGUCCAGACAGCAGGAGAAGGUUUGACCUCAAAGGGUGAAGCUGCCGCCGUGAUAGAAAAAGAGGUCACAUUUUGGCAUCGUUUGUCAUGGCGCAUGCGCUAUCCCGCAUGUCAACUGCUGCAAGCGCAGCCGGCAGCUCCGCUAAAAGCGCGCCGGGACACGCCCCUGCUCACUCUUCCUGCAUCGCGGCUGCAGGCAAUCAUUAAUCAGCGCACCUGGAUCUGAUGAGGGCAGACAGCAUAUGGACCAGCAGACCCGAAGAUUCAGUGCCGGAACGUAGUUCACUCCUCGCAUGUUCCCUCUGUUUCCUGUUUUCGAACUGUGUUCCCUCGAUCCUCGACACCCGCUUGGACACGGACCUCGUCACUUCUCUCCAGCACCCGACCUCUCGCUUGCCCACGGACUGUCUUCUUGCCUUGCCCCUCUGGACCGUUGAAGGAUUCAUCCAACACGCACAAACAACAACCUCU